GAUGAACGCUGACAGAAUGCUUAACACAUCAGCAAUUGAUUGGUGGCGGACGGGUGAGUAACGCGUAAAUAACUUGCCUCACAGCUAGGGACAACAUUUGGAAACGAAUGCUACUACCUAAUACUGUGAGAGAGCUUUUCGUCCCAUUAGCUAGUUGGAGAGGUAACGGCUCACCAAGGCGAUGAUGGGUAGCCGGCCUGAGAGGGUGAUCGGGCACAAGGGGCCUGGGGAGCGGCCCUUACGCCUACGGGAGGCAGGAGUGGGGAAUAUUGGAAAAUGGACCAAAGUCUGAUGAAGCAAUUCUGUGUGCAAGAUGAAGUUGUCGGAAGGUAAAGUGCUUUCAGUUGGGAAGCGGUACCAACAGAAGAAGUGACGGCUAAAUACGUGCCAGCAGCCGCGGUAAUUC
rnacentral:rRNA from 1 species